rnacentral:rRNA from 1 species
CUGGCUCAGGAUGAACGCUGGCGGCGUGCCUAACACAUGCAAGUCGAGCGCGUCUGAUUUGAUGCUUGCAUUAAUGAAAGAUGAGCGGCGGACGGGUGAGUAACGCGUGGGUAACCUGCCCUAUACACAUGGAUAACAUACUG